ACUUAAAUUGAAGAGUUUGAUCAUGGCUCAGAUUGAACGCUGGCGGCAGGCCUAACACAUGCAAGUCGAACGGUAGCACAGAGAGCUUGCUCUCGGGUGACGAGUGGCGGACGGGUGAGUAAUGUCUGGGAAACUGCCUGAUGGAGGGGGAUAACUACUGGAAACGGUGGCUAAUACCGCAUAACGUCGCAAGACCAAAGAGGGGGACCUUCGGGCCUCUUGCCAUCAGAUGUGCCCAGAUGGGAUUAGCUGGUUGGUGAGGUAACGGCUCACCAAGGCGACGAUCCCUAGCUGGUCUGAGAGGAUGACCAGCCACACUGGAACUGAGACACGGUCCAGACUCCUACGGGAGGCAGCAGUGGGGAAUAUUGCACAAUGGGCGCAAGCCUGAUGCAGCCAUGCCGCGUGUAUGAAGAAGGCCUUCGGGUUGUAAAGUACUUUCAGCGGGGAGGAAGGUGUUGUGGUUAAUAACCGCAGCAAUUGACGUUACCGCAGAAGAAGCACCGGCUAACUCCGUGCCAGCAGCC
rnacentral:rRNA from 1 species